UACGUAGGCAGCGAGCGUUGUUCGGAAUUACUGGGCGUAAAGCGUGCGCAGGCGGUUUGUUAAGUCCGUUGUGAAAGCCCCGAGCUCAACUUGGGAAUUGCAGUGGAUACUGGCAGGCUGGAGUACGGUAGAGGAAGGUGGAAUUCCCGGUGUAGCAGUGAAAUGCGUAGAUAUCGGGAGGAACACCAGUGGCGAAGGCGGCCUUCUGGACCAGUACUGACGCUCAUGCACGAAAGCGUGGGGAGCAAACAGG
rnacentral:rRNA from 1 species